rnacentral:misc_RNA from 1 species
GUUUAUGGGAUUUUUUAGGUAAGAUUAUUGGAGUGGGUUGUUAUUUAUUAGAAUAUUUUGGUAUAAAUUAUGGAAUUUGUUAUAUAUUAGUUGUGUGAUUUGAGGAAAGGUAAUUUAUUGUUUUGUGUUUAAUAAUUUUAUUUAUUAUAUAGAGAUGAAAACAAUGUUUUUUUUACAGUAUUGUUUUGAGGAUUAAAUGAAAUAAUGUAUGUAAAGUCGUUU